rnacentral:rRNA from 1 species
UACAUGCAAGUCGAGCGAGAAUCAAGUGAACGGAGAUUCGUCAAAGUGAUCUUGAGGAAAGCGGCGGACGGGUGAGUAACGCGUAUGCAACCUGCCCUUAGCAGAGGGAUAGCCAUUGGAAACGAUGAUUAAAACCUCAUAAUGCUGUUUCAUCACAUGUUGGAACAGCCAAAGAUUUAUCGGCUAAGGAUGGGCCUGCGUCUGAUUAACUAGUUGGUGAGGUAACGGCCCACCAAGGUGACGAUCAGUAGCCGACCUGAGAGGGUGAUCGGCCACAUUGGAACUGAGACACGGUCCAAACUUCUACGGAAGGCAGCAGUAAGGAAUCUUGCACAAUGGGGGAAACCCUGAUGCAGCAACGCCGCGUGAGUGAUGAACGCCUUAGGGUUGUAAAGCUCUGAUCUGGGGGAAGAAGAAGUGACGGUACCCCAGGAGAAAGCCCCGGCUAAAUACGUGCCAGCAGCCGCGGUAAUACGUAUGGGGCAAGCGUUAUCCGGAAUUAUCGGGCGUA